CUUCUUGCUUGUUGACCUUGGACUGUUUAUUGGAUUACUCUUUUUAUCUCACCCUGGAGUGUACCUGUUUGCUGUUUGACCUUGCCUGUUUUGACCACUCUUGUGAAAUAAAUCUGCAUUUGGAUCCUCAACUUUGUCACGCUUCACACGUCACGGUCGCUACGAGGUGAUGUCACAUCACGUCUUACAGUCUCCGUGGUUCAUUUCUCUCUUAACCCAGAAGCCGAAACAUCCUUUAAAAAGCCACUAUGAAACAUUGGGAAUAGUGAACAUCAGAACUGGCACCGAGACAUUUCGACUUGACCCACUAAUGAGGGACCUCAUCAACGCUUAAUUGGGGUCAUGCGAUGGAGUACACACCAGGCCGCCGUAAUACAUCACUAAGCAGAUUUCGUAGAACAAUUACUCCAAAUCUCAUCAUACAAUCUAAAUGCAAACCUGAGCAUUAGAUCUGUUGUUCCCCUCAUUCCACUUUCAUCCAGUAAUGUCUGCAGGUUAGAGGUGAUGACAGGAGUAGGCCUGCCAGAUAUAACCUCCUCUCCUCCUCCUCUUCCAAGCUUCCUUUACUUUUUUGGUCAUUGUUGAUGGAUGCUCUGGUCUGAUCACUAGUGCAGGGUGCCAGAGAGUGAUUGACAUGCUAGAGGCAGUGAGGAGCUAAGGAAUCCAAACAGGUCCGUGUGUUGGACAAAGAGAUAAGAGAGAGUAUGUUGAAAGGCACAGGGGGGUCCCCCGGGGGAAACUCGAUGAGCUGCCACAGGGGAAGAGAACAUCUGACAAAAUCAGACAGAGAGAAUGGAGAUACCGGGGGAGCUGAGAAUUCACUUACUGUUUUUUUUUUACCAAUGAGGGAUUGGGAGCCAGCCUAAUACAAACUAUUGUUUUCUGUAUUAUGUAGCUAAUAUAUAUCGAUGUUCAGUGUACAGUAAUUUGAUAUGUGUGAAACUGAUCAUUUACGAUGCAGAAGCAGUGUAAUUAAAGUGUACAAUAAGUAACAGAAUGCCAUUAAGGGAAUUCUGUCAUGGACCCCUCCUCUGGUCAUUUCCACACCUGACUUUCUUUUUUAUUCCACUGAACCGAAAAUAUAUGUCAUAUAUACAUUUAUAUCAUGUAAAGUUACGUUAAUUAUUCAUAAUAUUCUUACGUAACGUGUUGUCUUCAUUUUUCAGUGUAAGUUUGUAUAAAUGUGUUUAUUUUAAAUGUUUUUAUAUUUCACCAAGGAAUUGGAGUAGAAACUAUUUCACAAUUAUAAAGUCUUUAUAGUGUAUAUGUGCAAUGUAAAUAUUCAUAAGCUAGUUUUCUGUGAGUGUUGUGUGUGUGUUCAGUAAAUAAAUUUUGUUUUU